rnacentral:rRNA from 1 species
UACGGGGGGGGUAAGCGUUGUUCGGAAUUAUUGGGCGUAAAGAGCUCGUAGGCGGUCUGUCACGUCGGCUGUGAAAACCCGAGGCUCAACCUCGGGCCUGCAGUCGAUACGGGCAGACUAGAGUUCGGUAGGGGAGACUGGAAUUCCUGGUGUAGCGGUGAAAUGCGCAGAUAUCAGGAGGAACACCGAUGGCGAAGGCAGCUCGCUGGGACGGUACUGACGCUGAGACGCGAAAGCGUGGGGAGCAAACAGG